GUCAAGAUGGCCGAGCGGUCUAAGGCUCCGAAUUUAAGCUCUGGGUCUCUCGAAAGAGAGCGUGGGUUCGAACCCCACUCUUGACA